CCUUUAUCUACUUGAGUGGUCAUUGCUGGUGACAGACUUUACUGAGUUCACAAAGGACUGAAGAAGGCAAAAACUUGCCUCAAUGUUAGCCAUGUUGAGGCUGGGAGGGGCCUCAGGAGAGCAAACCAUCCAUGAAAUGGAGGAGAAACAUAAAUAAAAGCAACUAUUGAAGAAAUCAAAAGUUCAGUAUUUCUACAGAGGGAUGGUUGGUAAGAAGCAUCUUAAAGAACCACUAAACAUUUGGAGUGACUUCUGAUAUGAGUUACACACUUAAAACAUCCAUUGCUUAUCGAUCUCAAACAAAUUUUAAAAUUUUUAAUUUUAUUUAUUUAAAUUUUUAGCCCAGGAUCUGACUCAGGGUUGCCAAAUAGAAUACGGGAUGCCUAGUUACAUUUGAAUUUCAAAUAAAUAACAAUUUUUUAAUACAAGUAUGUCUUGCAUAUUACACGGGACACAUACUAGGGGAAAAAAAAGUCCCAAAUAGCACAUGGGAUAUACCUACACUAAAAACAAAAAUCUAGGGCACCUGGGUGACUCAGUCAGUUAAGCGUCUGACUUCAGCGCAGGUCAAGAUCUCAUAGCUCUUGGGUUGGAGCCCCGCAUCGGGUUCUGUGCUGAUGGCUCAGAGCCUGGAGCCUGCUUCGGAUUCUGUGUCUCCCUCUCUCUCUGCCCCUCCCUGACUGGCACUCCGUCUCUCUCAAAAAUAAACAUUAAAAAGAAUUAAAAGUAAAUAAAUAAAUAAAUAAACAAACAAAAACAAAAGUAUUGUUGCUUAUCUGAAACUCAGGAUGAAUUGGACACCCUUUAUUUCUACUUGCAGAGCGUGGCAGCCCUAGCCUGCAUACUUGAGAGCCCCCUCAAGAGUAUUCCUAUUUCCAUCAUGGAGCCUUCCAUUUGGCAGACAUUCAGAUGCUUUGGGAGAGUCUUGAGGAGUUCUGAAAGGGCAUAUGAAAUCAUAACCCUCCUUGAGGCAAGGCUCACACUUCUUCGUGACAAACUUCUCUUCAAUUUGAGGAAACCCCAUGGAAUACCUCAAAGGGUACUAGGAUUAUACAGAGAACAAAAGCCAGAAACACAGACCACUGCACAAUGGCCAGAAAAGAGGCCUCAGGAUGCACCAUUUCUGUGAGAAGGUAUGAUUAUGGACGGGGUUCUCUGAUCCUCUCAGUGUCUCCCACCUGCUGAC
rnacentral:lncRNA from 1 species